rnacentral:rRNA from 1 species
UACGGAGGGUGCAAGCGUUAUCCGGAUUCACUGGGUUUAAAGGGUGCGUAGGUGGGUCUGUAAGUCAGUGGUGAAAUCUCCGAGCUUAACUCGGAAACUGCCGUUGAUACUAUUUGUCUUGAAUAUUGUGGAGGUAAGCGGAAUAUGUCAUGUAGCGGUGAAAUGCUUAGAUAUGACAUAGAACACCAAUUGCGAAGGCAGCUUACUACACAACGAUUGACGCUGAGGCACGAAAGCGGGGGGAUCAAACAGG